rnacentral:lncRNA from 1 species
UAGGUACCUGAACAGACUCGGGCUGUAGAGUGGUGCUUGAGCUUGGUUCUCCAACCUCGCUCAACUCUAUCAUUCUCCCACUAUCUCCACCAAGAAUGUGUUCCUUCUUAAGGAACACUACUCUCUUAGCUACAAAGACCUUUUGGUCCUCGAGAUAAUAGAAAUAAUACCCACAAGUUUCCUUGGGGUAUCCCACAAAUUUGCAUCGCUCUGUCCUUUAUUCUGACUUAUCGAGGUUGUAUCUUUUAACGUGGGCAGGGCAGCCCCAAAUCUUAACAACCUUAAUAUCAUGCUUCUUCCCUUUCCAUAUCUCAUAUGGUGAAGACACUA